rnacentral:piRNA from 1 species
UCUUAUUUGGGCUUUUAUUGUUGUCAAAUAA